CCUACGGGGGGCUGCAGUGGGGAAUAUUGCGCAAUGGGCGAAAGCCUGACGCAGCGACGCCGCGUGAGGGAUGAAGGUCUGCGGAUCGUAAACCUCUGUCAGCAGGGAAGAACGAUCACUGUGCUAAUCAGCAGUGAAUGGACGGUAUCUGCACAGAAAGCACCGGCUAACUACGUGCCAGCAGCCGCGGUAAUACGGAGGGGGCAAGCGUUAUUCGGAUUUACUGGGUGUAAGGGGCUCGGAGGCGGUAUGACAAGUCAGAUGUGAAAUCCCGCGGCUCAACCGCGGAACUGCAUUUGAAACUGUUUUUCUUGAGUACCUGAGAGGUCAGUGGAAUUCCUUGUGUAGCGGUGAAAUGCGUAGAUAUAAGGAAGAACACCAGUGGCGAAGGCGGAUGACUGGACGGCAACUGACGGUGAGGCGCGAAAGCGUGGGGAGCAAACAGGAUUAGAUACCCUGGUAGUC
rnacentral:rRNA from 1 species